GUGAAUCAUCGAAUCUUUGAACGCAAAUUGCACUCUCUUCGGAGAGUAGGCCUGUUUGAGGGUCAGCCUAAAAAAAAUCGACAUAGUCGCUUUUUCGCGGUGCCAUUCGUCUGAAAUUUGGUCAUCUUAAACCUUUGGGUUAUAAGCGGCGUAAAAUUUUGUUUACGAUGCCACGAAUGUUUCUAAGAUUUACUUCUUAUACGUUUAAGGUAUCGAUCUUUAUUAGACGUGGCCGUGUCGUCGGGUCUCGU
rnacentral:misc_RNA from 1 species